rfam:Triticum aestivum genome assembly, contig: Triticum_aestivum_CS42_TGACv1_scaffold_113049_2AS
UAUGUACUCCCUCCGUCCGAAAAAGCUUGUCCUUCAAAUGGAUGUGUGUAGCAUCAAGUUAGUGCUAGAUACAUUUAUUUGAGAAACAAGAUUGGGACAAGUUUUUUCGAACGGAGGGAGUACAUG